CACUGUGAUUAUGUGUCUAAACCCAUGGUGGCACUGUUUGCGAUAUGUCUACACUGAGCAAGGCGGUUGAUGGAUUGGAAACCACGUUUACAUAAUUCAGGCAAACCCUCCCCUUUUCCAAGAGAAGAAUCUCCCUUCCUUUUAAUGAUCAUUUCAUUUAUGCCUACCCUUUGCCUGAACUUGACCGCAUUGUUUUAUUUAAUUCUUACAACAGUCUCCAAAGGUAGCUCUUAUGAACCCCCUUUAUCAGAGGUCAGUAAACAGAGGGUCAGAGAUUUAAGUGAUGGGACCAAGGUUAUAUGCCUGGGAAAUGGCAGUACUGGGAUUUGAACCAGGUUUCUCUCUCACCAAGGGCUAUACAACUUCGUAAUAGUAACCAUUUUACCCUUUGCCAAUUUGAGAGUGAUCGAUAGUUACCAAUCCUCACAAAAGAUGGGGAAAAUAUGACUUAUUAUUUCCUCUUUACAAAUGAAGAAGCAGAGGUUCAGGAGGUUAAACUGUCUCCUCCGCCCACACAAAUAUUUCCUGUGAAGCUGGAAUAAGAUCAAGAUUUGCCUGGAACUCAAACCUAGUCUCUCAUCUGAUUCUACCAUUGUCUCCCAAAGGACACUGUGGGGAGCCCCGGUCCCCUGAGAUGCUCUAAGAAAGAAAAGAGGUUCUUUUAUUCAUUUACUUAUGGUUUAAACAGAAUCUCUGCAAAAAUGUCGUAUUCCUCCCCUCCUCACAAUCUUUGCACCUGUUGUCCCCUUGCCUGAAAUGUCCCUCCUGUGACACUGCCUGGAUAAUUCUUCUCCACACUCACCUGCUGGUUUAUUUUUGUUAAUUGCUUAUUUUUUUUCUUUUUAGGGCUGCGCUUGUGGCAUAUAGAAGUUGCUGGGCUAGGCGUCGAAUUGGAGCUGGAGCUGCCGGCCUAUGCCACAGCCACAGCAACACAAAAUCCAAGCCUCGUCUGUGACCUGUGCCACAGCUCGUGGCAAUGCCGGAUCCUUAACCCUCUGAGCAAAGCCAGGGAUCAAACCCGCAUGCUUAUGGAUACUAGUUGGGUUCCUAACCCACUGAGCCACAACAGGAACUCCUCACCCACUAUUUUAAAUGUCAUGUCAUCAGAAGGACCUUUUCUUUUCUUUUUUGCUUUUUAGGGCCAUACCUGUGGCAUAUGGAAGUUCCCAGGGUAGGGGUCCAGUGGGAGCUGUAGCUGCUGGCCUACACCACAGCCACAGCAACACAGGAUCCGAGCCGCGUCUUCGAUCUACAUCACAGCUCACGGCAACGCCAGAUCCUUAACCCACUGAGCGAGGCCAGGGAUUGAUCCCACAACCUCAUGGUUCCUAGUCAGAUUCUCUUCUGCUGCGCCGCAAUGGGAACUCCAGAGGGAUCUUUUCUUAUCCCAGAACCUAGACCAGGUCCCCAAAUUUCCUCUCUCUUGCCCUCCAUUAGUCAUGAACAAUGCACUGGUUUGUGUGAAUAUGGUUUAACCUUGCCUCUCAGUAGCCUUCAGAGUCUAGGAGGGCAGGCAUGGUGACUGCCUAGUUCACAAGACUCCAAGGUGCCAGCCCAGUGGCCUCUGGGUGUCACUCCAUAAAGAAACGAGCUUUCUUCGUACUUCACCCACUGCUCUACCUUUGCAGAAUCGUAGACAGGAGAGCGAAUGACCUCUGGGGUCCUCCCACCUUUGCCAUUUUGCAGACGGGGACAUGGAGGCCCCACCUUCACGUCCAUUGGGUGAUGGUGAGAAAAGAAACAAGAGACAUCCAUUACUUGUCUGUUAUUUCUGUUCUUGAUCUGGAACCCAACUGUUUAACCAAGUACGUCUGAUUCAAUCCUCAAGAUCAAAGAGGAAGGAGGAAGUUGAGGCUCAGAGAUGUUGCGCCUCUUGUCCAAGGUCACAGCCACUAAGUGGCACAGAGUUAUCUGAUGGCCUCUGAGCCAGCUCUCCAUGCUGGCUCCAUUCCAUAUGGGGGUUUCCUGGGAGCUUCACAGCACCGCUGCCCGGGCACCAUUGAUGCCCACAAUUUCCCAGAUUCUGCCUUAGUUGGUCUGGGGUAUGGCUUGGGCAUUGGGGUUUUUAAAAGUUCCCCAGGGGAUUCUCUUUUUUUUUGUCUUUUGUCUUUUCAGGGCCACACCCACAGCAUAUGGAGGUUCCCAGGCUAGGGGUCUAAUCAGAGCUACAGCUUCCGGCCUACACCACAGCCACAGCAUCUGCCUCGUCUGCAACCUACAUCACAGCUCACAGCAACACCAGAUCCUUAACCACUGAGUGAGGCCAGGGAUCAAACCUGCAAUCUCAUGGUUCCUUGUCGGAUUCGUUUCUGCUGCACCAUGACAGGAACUCCUUUUUUCUUUUUAUGUUUGCACCCACAGCAUGUGGAAGUUUGAAGGCUAGGGGUCAAAUCAGAGCUGCAACUGCAGGCUCAGGUCACAGCCACAGCCACACCCGAUCCUUAGCCCACUGAGCAAAGCCAGGGAUCAAACCCGAAUCCUCAUGGAGACUCUGUCAGGUUCUUAACCUGCUGAACCUCAAUGGGAACUCCUGCCCCAGGGGAUGCUAAUGUGCUGGCAAGAUGAGAACAACCUGAUGUACGACGGAUUGAUUGAAUGACUGAUCGAUGGAUGGAUGGAUUGAUUAUUGCCAUUUAAUCAAUUCACCCUUCUUGCAGAGCCCAGGUAGAAUCAGUUGCCUCGUGCAAUUCUACUACGACGUUUCUUGCUUCCUUCUCUCUUUCCCCUCCUCACGCCCAAAUCAGCAUUUCUCUCUAGACUAAAUCCCUUCUCAACACACACAGGUAUGAAAAAUUAAAAACCAAAACAAACCAAAAACAACCCACAACGCAAAUCACCUUAUGACAAGUCCCAGCCCAAAUGGUCUAGUUAUAAGACCGAGCAACCCAAUUUCCUUACAAAGGAAGAAAUCAUAGGAGACCUCCAAGUUCCUGGGGUUGGUUUCUUUGUUUGCUUUUCGGUGUUAAACCAAUGGUAUUAUCAGAUAAUGAGGCUCACCUGGUGCAGAGAGGGCCCCGCAAUGAAGCGGAAGUGGUCCUUAUGGGCAGUGUCAUUUUACGAAGGGUCAGCGGACUUCUGGGAUCAUGAGGUGCCCGGGUCACCGUGACUGUAAAGGGUGCAGCCAGGAUUUGAGCCCCGCCCCCUCCCCUCCUUUCCCACCGGACGGACAGCACUGCCCGGGAGACCCUUCACACGCUCCCCUGGGAUCCUAUUUGUGCAGAGAAAACACUGAACCAGGUUUUCUUUCUUGAAGGAAUUCAAGACUUUUCCUCCGCCCCCAAAUCAGCUGUUGAGAAGCAGUGAUAUGUACUUUAAAUGUCUCGUAUAAAAUUUACUAGAAAACUUUUCCUCCUUCCAAGCAUAGCUAUAAACGAAGCCUGGGCUGGACCUCUCCUCUUUUGCGGCAAUGAAGUUGAUGUCAAGGGUUUCCAUAGCGACCUACGGGCCUCCAAGGUCGGGCGGGAAGGGAGGAGCAACCAUGGAUGUUAAAGGAACAGUGACAAAAACUACUGGCAAACAACUCGGAAGCCAGGGUUAUGGCCUGAAUUGUGUCCCCCCCCUCAAAUUCAUGUUGAGGACCUAACCCCAGUACUCAGGAUUUGGAGCAAGGGCCAUUAAAGAGGUGAUCCAGUGAAGGAGAGAGGCCUCAGGGAACCACCCCUGCCAGCGCCUUGAUCUUGGACUUCUGGCCUCCAGAACUGUGAGAAAAUAAACAUCUGUUGUUUAAGCCUCCCGGUCUGUGGUAUUUUGUUAUAGUAGCCAGAGCAGGGCAACCUGUUCUUCCACAGUCUGGAAAGUGCAUAUUCUAUUUGUUCCCUUGCAGCCCCUGCCUGAGCUGUGAGGUGGGAAGAGCAGGUACUAUUAAGGCCUUUUUAUUUUUUAUUUCUUUUUGGCCGUACUUGCACAGAUGAAAGUUCCCAGGCCAGGGGUGGAAUCUGAGCCGCAGCUUCGAUCUAUGAUCUACACCACAGCUGCUGCAAUGCCAGAUCCUUAACCAUUCUUUAGGGCCAGGGAUUGAACCUGUGCCUCCACAGCGAUCUGAGCUGCUGCAGAGACAAUGCUGGAUCCUUAACCCAUUGUGCCACAGUGGGGACUCCCAUGAAGGCCUUUUUAAAAAUAAAUUGAGGCUCAGCACAUUCCACAAAAUCAUGAAGCAAUCUGAUGGCCAGUGGGGCACCACAGCUCUCCUUCAGAAUUUAAUUUUGAGCAGGGUUUCAAAUGCCUUUUGGAAGAGGAAAGCCCUUGGAUGGUUUGAAAGGAGUUUCUUAGAAUUUAUUGACUCCAUGAUUCUUUAGCUCAUAUGUGAAGGGCAGAAGGAGCUUCCCGGCAGCCUUGGAGUUACUAGGAAAGGGUUGUCUCAAGUGUCAGUUUCAGACUGGAGCAGAGACUCUCAAAGAGCUUCUUAGAAGUGAAGGGGAUGUGGAAAUUUCCAGAAGGGGCAACUAGGGGUGUGUGCCCAAGAGCGUCUUUUUUGGAACUUCCUACCUUCAUUUCAAGCAAAGCAAUGUCAUUUUAUCUGUUUUGCACCCACACAGGCCUCCAUAUGAGGUUGUAUUUGAAAAGCGUAAUCAGCUGCUACCAAAAGUUAUUAUUACAAAUUUACACAAUGAUGCUGAUGACAAGGCUUGAUGCCCCCUGGACCAGGUAAGGUAACAAAACUUUGGCUGUGUACUUUUUGGCUCUUGCUUGGCUAGUGAACACUUAGCAACUUCUUUCAACAAAUAUCGGAGAAGGAUUUGCUUGGUGCAGGACACUGGGUACAGCUUCAAUACAAGGGACACAGCAGGGAACACAAGAGACAGGUCUUCUGCCUGCAAGGGUUUGUCUCACAUGGGGAGAGGAGGCAGUGGGCAGAUGUGGGACCACAGCAGGUAAGGCAAGUGCUGUGCAGAAGGUGAAGCAGGUG
rnacentral:lncRNA from 1 species